rnacentral:rRNA from 1 species
CAUGCAAGUUGAGGGGCAGCAUGCUUUUAGCUUGCUAAGGCCGAUGGCGACCGGCGCACGGGUGAGUAACACGUAUCCAACCUGCCGUCUACUCUUGGACAGCCUUCUGAAAGGAAGAUUAAUACAAGAUGGCAUCAUGAGUCCGCAUGUUCACAUGAUUAAAGGUAUUCCGGUAGACGAUGGGGAUGCGUUCCAUUAGAUAGUAGGCGGGGUAACGGCCCACCUAGUCUUCGAUGGAUAGGGGUUCUGAGAGGAAGGUCCCCCACAUUGGAACUGAGACACGGUCCAAACUCCUACGGGAGGCAGCAGUGAGGAAUAUUGGUCAAUGGGCGCAGGCCUGAACCAGCCAAGUAGCGUGAAGGAUGACUGCCUUAUGGGUUGUAAACUUCUUUUAUAAAGGAAUAAAGUCGGGUAUGGAUACCCGUUUGCAUGUACUUUAUGAAUAAGGAUCGGCUAACUCCGUGCCAGCAGCCGCGGUAAUACGGAGGAUCCGAGCGUUAUCCGGAUUUAUUGGGUUUAAAGGGAGCGUAGAUGGAUGUUUAAGUCAGUUGUGAAAGUUUGCGGCUCAACCGUAAAAUUGCAGUUGAUACUGGAUAUCUUGAGUGCAGUUGAGGCAGGCGGAAUUCGUGGUGUAGCGGUGAAAUGCUUAGAUAUCACGAAGAACUCCGAUUGCGAAGGCAGCCUGCUAAGCUGCAACUGACACUGAGGCUCGAAAGUGUGGGUAUCAAACAGGAUUAGAUACCCUGGUAGUCCACACGGUAAACGAUGAAUACUCGCUGUUUGCGAUAUACAGCAAGCGGCCAAGCGAAAGCGUUAAGUAUUCCACCUGGGGAGUACGCCGGCAACGGUGAAACUCAAAGGAAUUGACGGGGGCCCGCACAAGCGGAGGAACAUGUGGUUUAAUUCGAUGAUACGCGAGGAACCUUACCCGGGCUUAAAUUGCAGAUGAAUUACGGUGAAAGCCGUAAGCCGCAAGGCAUCUGUGAAGGUGCUGCAUGGUUGUCGUCAGCUCGUGCCGUGAGGUGUCGGCUUAAGUGCCAUAACGGGCGCAACCCUUGUUGUCAGUUACUAACAGGUUCCGCUGAGGACUCUGACAAGACCGCCAUCGUAAGAUGUGAGGAAGGUGGGGAUGACGUCAAAUCAGCACGGCCCUUACGUCCGGGGCUACACACGUGUUACAAUGGGGGGUACAGAGGGCCGCUACCACGCGAGUGGAUGCCAAUCCCCAAAACCUCUCUCAGUUCGGACUGGAGUCUGCAACCCGACUCCACGAAGCUGGAUUCGCUAGUAAUCGCGCAUCAGCCACGGCGCGGUGAAUACGUUCCCGGGCCUUGUACACACCGCCCGUCAAGCCAUGGGAGCCGGGGGUACCUGAAGUGCGUAACCGCGAGGAGCGCCCUAGGGUAAAACUGGUGACUGGGGC